CCUGAAUCAAAUGAUUAGUUCAUUACCAGGCCUCUGGAGAACUGCAAGACAUGUUGAAGAGACAAAGGAAAAUAAAGAAUUGGCCACUGCCCUGAAGACCCGCCGCAUCGAUAUCGCCUGUGUCCAAGAGACAAAAUGGAGCGGAGCGAAAGCCAAGGAAAUCAGCAUCAUGUCAAUCGAAACAGACUCCGGAAAGACAGCUCUGCAAGUGGUCUGCUGCUACACACCACAAGUGCUCGGAUGAGUCCAAAGACGAAUUUUGUGUUCAGUCCAGCCAGAAGGCUUGGUCAUAGGUGGCGACCUAAAUGGUCAUGUGGGGGCCAGAAGAGAUGGCUACAAACAACAUCAUGGUGGACAAGAACACGGUACACGUAACAAAGAAGGCUGCAUAGUCCAGAAUUUUGCUGAAGCCCACAAACUCAUCGUAGCGAACACCUACUUCAAAAAGUGCCUGUCUCACCUGAUAACUUACGCCAGAGGAGGACGUUUCACCCAGGUCGAGUACUGGGUGAAACAUAUUUAUAUA